rnacentral:rRNA from 1 species
GACGAACGCUGGCGGCGUGCUUAACACAUGCAAGUCGAACGGAAAGGCCCUGCUUUUGUGGGGUGCUCGAGUGGCGAACGGGUGAGUAACACGUGAGUAACCUGCCCUUGACUUUGGGAUAACUUCAGGAAACUGGGGCUAAUACCGGAUAGGAGCUCCUGCUGCAUGGUGGGGGUUGGAAAGUUUCGGCGGUUGGGGUUGGACUCGCGGCUUAUCAGCUUGUUGGUGGGGUAGUGGCUUACCAAGGCGGUGACGGGUGGCCGGCCUGAGAGGGUGACCGGCCACAUUGGGACUGAGGUACGGCCCAGACUCCUACGGGAGGCAGCAGGGGGGAAUAUUGCACAAUGGGCGGAAGCCUGAUGCAGCAACGCCGCGUGCGGGAUGACGGCCUUCGGGUUGUAAACCGCUUUCGCCUGUGACGAAGCGUGAGUGACGGUAAUGGGUAAAGAAGCACCGGCUAACUACGUG